rnacentral:rRNA from 1 species
UACAGAGGGGGGCAAGCGUUGUUCGGAAUUACUGGGCGUAAAGGGCGCGUAGGCGGCCUGCUAAGUCGAACGUGAAAUCCCCCGGGCUCAACCCGGGGAACUGCGUCCGAUACUGGAAGGCUUGAAUCCGGGAGAGGGAUGCGGAAUUCCAGGUGUAGCGGUGAAAUGCGUAGAUAUCUGGAGGAACACCGGUGGCGAAGGCGGCAUCCUGGACCGAGAUUGACGCUGAGGCGCGAAAGCUAGGGGAGCAAACGGG